CAAAAAAUAGUUUAUAAUAUAAAAUAUUAAUUUUGGAAAUUAAUAAAAUAAAGAAAAUUUAUUUUUUUGC
rnacentral:tRNA from 1 species